GUAGGUGAACCUGCGGAAGGAUCAUUAACACGAAUUUUUAUCCAAUAUCAAAAACCCAACGUGAACUUUUCCCCUCCCUAUUUCAAACCUCCUUUCUCUUAGUGAGAUGGGUUUUUUGACUUAGGCUAACCUUAUUUUUUUUAAACACCUUUUAAUUUGAUAAGUCUUUUAGGUUAACACCUUAGACUAACUAACUAAAAAUUUUAUUUAAGAUGUCAACAUCUGUUGUCUCUUAAUUAAUAUUUUUUCU
rnacentral:misc_RNA from 1 species